UACGUAGGGUGCAAGCGUUGUCCGGAAUUAUUGGGCGUAAAGAGCUCGUAGGCGGUCUGUUGCGUCGUCUGUGAAAACCCGGGGCUCAACUCCGGGCCUGCAGCCGAUACGGGCAGACUAGAGUUCGGCAGGGGAGACUGGAAUUCCUGGUGUAGCGGUGAAAUGCGCAGAUAUCAGGAGGAACACCGAUGGCGAAGGCAGGUCUCUGGGCAUUAACUGACGCUGAGGAGCGAAAGCAUGGGGAGCGAACAGG
rnacentral:rRNA from 1 species